rnacentral:rRNA from 1 species
CGUGUAGGCGGCUCGGUAAGUCCGCUGUGAAAGUCCAGGGCUCAACCCUGGAAUGCCGGUGGAAACUGUCGAGCUAGAGUCCGGAAGAGGCGAGUGGAAUUCCUGGUGUAGCGGUGAAAUGCGCAGAUAUCAGGAGGAACACCAAUGGCGAAGGCAGCUCGCUGGGACGGUACUGACGCUGAGACGCGAAAGCGUGGGGAGCAAACAGGAUUAGAUACCCUGGUAGUCCACGCUGUAAACGAUGGGCACUAGGUGUGGGGGGUGUCGACUCCCUCCGUGCCGACGCUAACGCAUUAAGUGCCCCGCCUGGGGAGUACGGCCGCAAGGCUAAA